UACAGAGGUCCCGAGCGUUGUUCGGAUUUACUGGGCGUAAAGGGUGCGUAGGCGGUGGGGUAAGUUUGAGGUGAAAGCUCCGGGCUCAACCCGGAAACUGCCUUGAAAACUAUCCGGCUAGAGGGUUGGAGGGGAGACUGGAAUUCUCGGUGUAGCAGUGAAAUGCGUAGAUCUCGAGAGGAACACCAGUGGCGAAGGCGGGUCUCUGGACAACACCUGACGGCUGAGGCACGAAAGCCAGGGGAGCAAACGGG
rnacentral:rRNA from 1 species